rnacentral:rRNA from 1 species
GAUGAACGCUAGCGGGAGGCCUAACACAUGCAAGCCGAGCGGUAUUGUUUCUUCGGAAAUGAGAGAGCGGCGUACGGGUGCGGAACACGUGUGCAACCUGCCUUUAUCUGGGGGAUAGCCUUUCGAAAGGAAGAUUAAUACUCCAUAAUAUAUUGAACGGCAUCGUUUAAUAUUGAAAGCUCCGGCGGAUAGAGAUGGGCACGCGCAAGAUUAGCUAGUUGGUGAGGUAAAGGCUGACCAAGGCAAUGAUCUUUAGGGGGCCUGAGAGGGUGAUACCCCACACUGGAACUGGGACACGGACCAGACACCUACGGGAGGAAGCAGUGAGGAAUAUUAGUCAAUGGGUGCAAGCCUGAACCAGCCAUCCCGCGUGAAGGACGACUGCCCUAUGGGUUGUAAACUUCUUUUGUAUAGGGAUAAACCUUUCCACGUGUGGAAAGCUGAAGGUACUAUACGAAUAAGCACCGGCUAACUCCGUGCCAGCCGCCGCAGUAACAC